GACGAACGCUGGCGGCGUGCCUAAUACAUGCAAGUAGAACGCACAGUUUAUACCGUAGCUUGCUACACCAUAGACUGUGAGUUGCGAACGGGUGAGUAACGCGUAGGUAACCUGCCUGGUAGCGGGGGAUAACUAUUGGAAACGAUAGCUAAUACCGCAUAAUAUUGAUUAUUGCAUGAUAAUUGAUUGAAAGAUGCUAUUUCAUCACUACCAGAUGGACCUGCGUUGUAUUAGCUAGUAGGUGAGGUAACGGCUCACCUAGGCGACGAUACAUAGCCGACAUGAGAGGGUGAUCGGCCACACUGGGACUGAGACACGGCCCAGACUACUACGGGAGGCAGCAGUAGGGAAUCGUCGGCAAUAGACGAAAGUCUGACCGAGCAACGCCGCGUGAGUGAAGAAGGUUUUCGGAUCGUAAAGCUCUGUUGUAAGAGAAGAACGGGUGUGAGAGCGGAAAGUUCACAAUGUGACGGUAUCUUACCAGAAAGGGACGGCUAACUACGUG
rnacentral:rRNA from 1 species